rnacentral:rRNA from 1 species
CUACGGGGGGCAGCAGUCGAGAAUCUUCCGCAAUGGACGAAAGUCUGACGGAGCGACGCCGCGUGCGGGAUGAAGGCCUUCGGGUUGUGAACCGCUGUCAGUGGGGAGGAAAUGCAUCAGGGUUCUCCCUGGUGUUUGACCGAUCCGCAGAGGAAGCGCAGGCUAAGUUCGUGCCAGCAGCCGCGGUAACACGAACUGCGCGAACGUUAUUCGGAAUCACUGGGCUUAAAGAGUUCGUAGGCGGCCUUUCAAGUCGGGUGUGAAAUCCCUCGGCUCAACCGAGGAAUUGCGCCUGAUACUGUUGGGCUUGAGGGGGAUAGGGGUGAGCGGAACUGAUGGUGGAGCGGUGAAAUGCGUUGAUAUCAUCAGGAACACCGGUGGCGAAGGCGGCUCACUGGAUCUCUUCUGACGCUGAGGAACGAAAGCUAGGGGAGCGAACGGGAUAGAUACCCGUGUAGUC